rnacentral:rRNA from 1 species
UACGUAGGGUGCAAGCGUUAAUCGGAAUUACUGGGCGUAAAGCGUGCGCAGGCGGUUUUGUAAGACUGUCGUGAAAUCCCCGGGCUCAACCUGGGAAUGGCGAUGGUGACUGCAAGGCUAGAGUUUGGCAGAGGGGGGGUAGAAUUCCACGUGUAGCAGUGAAAUGCGUAGAUAUGUGGAGGAACACCGAUGGCGAAGGCAGCCCCCUGGGUCAAAACUGACGCUCAUGCACGAAAGCGUGGGGAGCAAACAGG